UUUACCUCUGUUGAAAAUAUGUUAUAGAUUUUACUCACUUGCAAUUCUCAAUGAAUUUUGGGUAGGAAAGAAAGGGAUAGAGUUCAUAUUGUUUUCCAGUAAAAUUCAAAGCCUCUUUACUUGUGUCAUAGCCCGUAGCAGUGUGGAACCCAUAUGAAAUUAUGUAUCAAGUCCUGGCAAAAGCCCGAGAAUUGUGGAUCUGCUCUAAAGUGGAAAUAUGAACAGUUCAGAUUCAGUCUACUUUCUUCAUAUAACAUUAGCAAGAGAAUUCCAGGCACAGCACCUGACCAACUUCGGGAGAACAAAGCCUCCAUCUGGACCGAAGGGAAAGGGAGCUGGUCGCCCGUGGAGCAGCAAAGAACAAGGCUCUGCUUCCCUUUGAAGCGCUGGCAUUCUUCUUAAUCACCUGGCAAAGUCUUAAUUUAAAGAGGGACUCUUGGAGAAGGGGGAAUCUCAAGUAUAUUUGACUUUCAUAUCAAAUCUACUUACCUUUCAUCAGGUUUAUUAAAAUUGGUGAUGUGUUAAUUGUGAACCCUGUUUGUAUCUGAAUAGGAAGUGCUGCCUUUGGGCCCCCCCUCCUUGCUGUUUUGUCUUAGGAUACACUCACAUUGCUGCCUUUGCCAUGGAGUAAUUAUUUCUGGGGAGACAUACUGUGAUGUCAGGCUACUGGGUUACAGUUGUUGCAGGGUAAACACAAGAGGACAUUAGACUCUUAGAAUGCCUAAUUAGAAGGAAAGUAAGUGCAUUGCUGGAUAGCUGAAAAAUACAAGCCUAAGUAGUAUUGCAUUUUUCACCAGUGGAUGCUACAUGCAUUGGUAUAUUUUAUAUCUUUACUCUUAGGAAGUAAACAUCAUAAAGGAAUUCUCUUGCCUUUUUAGAAAGAUACUUGUGAAAUUCACUUUGGAGGGAUAUAUAAAAUCCAUAAAGUUAUGGUAUCGGGAGGAGUAUUCAGUUCUACACGACGAGUGUGGAAAUUGUCAGUGAUUCUAAUACAUGCGCCUCAUCCAAAUUCCACCAUGGAGUGCGUUUUUAAAGAAUAGGGGAUAAGUGAUUUUUUUAUUUUAUACAGGUAUUGGGUCCUGGAUGCAGCCAUGUGCUGGAGAUACAAGAAACAUAACGCAGUUAUUGUCAUAAAGAGUUUGUGAUCUAUAUGUGGGAAACGAAAUCAUCCGGGAACACAAGUACAAACAUAGAAUUGAACAUCACAAAUAUCAAUGGGAAAUCAGACUAAGAAAAUUUUAGUCAAAGAAAUAGGUGACUGGGCUCAUGGAAUUGCAGUUAGAGAUCAACUUUAAAAGUUGUAGAGCUAUGAAAAGAGGGAUGUGGAUGGUGUGUUCUUACUGUCGAUGAAGUAAAAAAGAAAAUGUGUGUAGGAGUAAGCCAGCUGAGUUUCUAGUGAGGACUCUCACCAUGUCAUAGUAGGAGUUUUGAAAUGAUCUCUGGAUAAAUGAAGGCAUCUUUAGUCAGUUAUCAGAUUUGAAAUUAAAGGUGAAUGUCGACUUUUGAUUUUGAGUGGAGUGUGUGUGUGUGUGUGUGUGUGUGUGCAUUUUCACUAAACUUGCUCUCUUCUCACAUGAUGAGGUGGUACCCAACUACAGCUCCUUGGUCCAUGACCCAUACUCCAAAAUUUUCCUCGCUUUUUUCCUUCUCAGCAACCUUUCCUUUCAGGGCCUGUUUCCAGCUGACAGGGUGGGAGAAUGAUCAACAAAAUGAAUUUACCCUAGGUUGUAUACAUAUGACUGCAAUAACGAAUGAUGCUUCUCCCAAGACUGUUUAUAUUUGCAAAGGGUGUUCCCAACUCAAAGAAACAAUGGGAUGUCCCUUCAAGGAGUGGAUGACUGAGGAGCACUUUUGGGGAAUAGGAGGACAUCCCAGUGUCCCUCAGUUCUCUCCACAUCAGUUGCUGUCUACCUACAGCAAUGUAUGCUCGGACAGAAAAGAACUUGUGUCUCAGGCCCACAGACAUUCACAGGCUUAUAAGCAAUGGUGUCUGUCACAUUGGGUGUUGGGAGUAGAGAGAUGGGCGGGGAGGUGUUGCUCACAAAAUCCCAUUUAGGGAAUUAUUUAUUAUUCUAGUUUGUCGUUUAUGCUUAUAGCAUCUGUAAUAAAUAAACACGCUCCAGAAGAAAGCACAACUUAACAAGGAGUAGAUGAGAUUGAAUGUGACGACUCCAGCCCUGUACGAGAGGCACUGGCCCAUUAAAUGAAGGCGCACAGCUACUUCUUAAUGCUCUCCCUAAGUAAUCAAUUUCUGAAAAUACCAAAUAAUUUUAAAACAGCCCUGUCUGACCUCACUCUCCAGUGACGUUGGACCAGCCCUUGCUGAUUUGCCUACCUGGUUUUUAAUCAAUCAGAUUUGACAUUUUUGGUUUUGUUUUGUUUUAUUUUGUUUCUUCCCCUUGCCUACACUGGCACCUUUUCUCUUCCCUUGGCAAAAUUAAAUGGCAUCUGCCCUCCCUCAAGGUUAGGGACCCAAAACAUAGCUUAAUAUUUAUAGGUUUGGACGUCUUUUGAAAUAGCAGCAGAGGAAUCUAAAUGCCAUUGCAAGAGGGUAGAACAUUCUGAUGCUGUACUAGGAUUUGAUUUCUAUCCAGAUAAAAAGACCCAGGAUGCCCAGAGUCUGAACACAGAUGGAACUUGAGGAAGAGAAACUGUCAGCCUGAAAUAUCUUCUAUCAGACUUUCGAACAGAGUAUGAUUCAAGCAAAAGAGUUAAAAAAAAUGUGAUUUGAGCCUACUUUCUCUUUUUGACUGAUUAAAUUCUCCAGGUCAUUUUAAAACUACUUUUUUUUCUCAUUUCCCAGCUCGUAGAAGAUAAUAUUUGUGAAAGAGGCUUAUAGAUUAUAAUUUUUAAAUAUAUAUUGUAUUAUAUAACCAUCCUAUUUGUUUCUUUUUUGAUCUCCUUUCCCUCUUACUGCUUCCUCCUUUCUGUAUUCUUUUAAUCUUCUUAUUUCCCCUCUUCUUCUUCCUUUUGUAGUCAUCCUUCAAGUAUAAUUACAUGUAUUUGUUAUGAAUUGAAUAUUUGUGUGCCCCCAAAAUUCAUAUGUUGAAACCUAAGUCACAACAUGGCAAUGUUUGGAAUUGGGCUUUUGGGAAAUGAUGAGGUCAUGAGGGUGGAACCCUCAUGAAUGGCAUUAGUGCCUUUCUAAGAGUUCCCAGAGAGUUCUUUCACUCCUUGUGAAAACACAUGUAAGAACAGAGAGAAGAUGGCUGUCUGUGAGCCGGGAAAUGGGUCCCCUCCAGACACUGAAUCUUCCAGAAUGCUGAUCUUAGACUUCUCAGGCAACAGAAGUACAUUUCAAAAAUAAAUUUCUAUUGUUCAUAAGGACCCAGUCGAUGGCAUUUUGUUACAGUAGCCUGAACAGAGACUAAGUCAGAAUCAUAAUGUGUCUUGGUGUGUUGGCCAUACUGAAGGUGGCAGAAAGGGAGUUACCACAGAAGUUAUGGGAGUUCAUAAUUUCAUACUGGGGAGAGGGGGAGGCAAGGUUAGUAAGAUCAAUUUAGUAAUAUUAAUAAGAUUAGAAGCGAUUCUCUGUUUAAAAAAAUUAAAAUGCUUUAGACGGGGGAAGAAAUUGCUUUGACAGAUGAGAAGAUGGCAAUUCAGGAAAAAAUUCAGAUUCUCAGGAAGCUAGUAGUUACUGAAAAAUUAAUUGUGACAAUAUGGGAUAUGCCUAAGUAGUAAAUGAUUGUGAAACACUGGCUCACACAGAAGCUCUGUGUUUAUUCUAAAAUUGCUAGAACGCAUGGGCCAAGAUCUUUGCAUGUUCAAUGUACAUAACCUUAACAAGUGUUGGAGGUCAACAGUUACACUACUAGCAAAGAAGGUAUAUCUGAAUGAGUGGCUUGGGGGACUUUCUGGUUGGGACAUAGCCAAAAUGAUGGCUAGAUAAGGCAAUGACAUGAAUACGAAUUAUGUUAAAUGAUAUAUGCACUAGACAAACUGUAGAUGGCAAAACCUGAAAUGAGAGUUCAUAUAAAGUGUUAACCAAAUAAGGAGAUGAAACAGGUGAUACGUCAUGGCAGGUAUCAGAAACCACAGCCUGUGGGUUAAAUCCAGCUGGCUGAGUGUUUUUAUAUGGUUCUUGAGCUAAUUGCUUCCACAGUUUUAAAUGGUUGGAAAGCAAUCAAAAGAAUCCUAUUAGGUGACAACUGAAAAUUAUAUGAAAUUCUAAUUUUAGUGUCCACAAAUAAAGUUUUCUUGGAUCACAGCCAUGCUCAAUUUGUAUUGGCCUAUGGCUACUUUCAGUGGAAGAGUUUAGUUGUUGCCACAGCGACUUCAUAGCCUGCAAAGCCUAAAAUGUUUGCCGAAAACAUUUCCUACUCCUCCUCCCUAAGUUCUGAUUUGGGGGAUUCUGGAUCCUUGUCCAUAUAUUGAAUUUAAUUAAGCAGGUAUUUGUUGAGUGCCUGCUAUUUUUGGUGGUACUGAAAUGUCUGAAGUUAGAUUGCAAAUGUCUGUUCCUUUGAGAUUUCUGUGAUAGGCAAAAAUCAGUAUGGGAUUUUACCAUAUGUCCAGUCUAGGAAUGAUAUGGAGUGGGAAGCACUAAGACCCUGUGAAAGUUUUUUAGUUUCAAAGAAAGGGAAGGACAUGCUAAAGAAGAACACGCCAUGAGUUUUACACAAGAAUUGUCAGGAAACAUGAUACAUUCCAGGACCGAGGACACACUUGAAAUGGACUGAACAUGGUCUAAGUGCAAGUAGGAAGUGGAUGUACCAAGGUUAAAAGGAAGCAUCAGUUUGGCCAGAUGAUGAAGAACUUUCAUGUGAGGCUAAGUAUUUGGAUUUUGCUCAUGGUGAAGGAGGAUGAAUUUGUUCUUUGGUUUUUUGUUUGUUUGUUUUUUUAAUCUCAAAUUGAUUGUGAAGAAGAGAGGAUCUGGCAUCUAUUUCAGAAAAAGAACCAAUGAAAUUCGCUAACAACUGGAGUUGGGUGGUAAAGAGAUAGAUAUAGGGAGGUUUCUGGAUGGGGUGCCUGCAUGGAUGAAGUCUUCCUAAAAUGGUAAAUGUAGGUAGGGAGCAAGAGUGUGGGGAGAAUGAAGUUUGUCCUAUUAGGUUAUGUACUUUGUGGAAGAAUCAUGGGCACAGAUUUAAGCACAGGGAAGUCUCUGAGAGAACAAGAAGGGUUGAGAAUUAUGAGUGUACAAUGGGAGUUGAAGCCAUGGGGUGCAUGGGGCUUCCCAGGGAGGGCGUAUCAAAUGCAGGGCAAAGGGAUCAGGGAGAGUAAUCAGAACAAUAAUACCAUUAAAGAGUUCUCAAAGGGAUUCAAUAUCAAAUCUACCUUAAGCCUCCUUAAGACCUUGUGGAACUGAGACCUGGGCUAUGUACCUGUGUCUGAGUAAAAGGGAAAAGGUUUAUAAACGGUCACAUGCAUGUCACGAAAGAUGACUCUGGCCACACUCACCAUUUUGGCCAGAGUCCUCCUGGUGCUCCUGCUUCCUAAUCAUGAGCUUAAUUUCCUGAAGCUAAAAAUGAAAAUAAAGAUCUUAUACAGAACAGGCUGACGUCAACUUGCCCACUGCUCCUGGGACAGCAACCUCUCUUCCAGCCCCAAUUAGUUUCAUUGUCAUUUUUCGAUUCCUCCCCCAGUUUCCAGGCUGAUCAUACUUUGUUUUCCACCAUCUCCCUUUAUUUCUUCCUUUUCCAGUUGCUAAGCACUCCCUUGUUGCUAAGUGGGAUAUGAGCACUUAAUUUACUCCAUUCUUUUUUCUCGUACCAGAUUUUAGAAAUUGCAGAUCCUGUUUAAUCAAUGUGUAAAUGCAAUGCUUUUGAUGUAUUUUUCCUAAGAGCAAUAUUUUGAUCAUUCUUAAUGAUACUUAAUGAAGUCACCGCAUGAUUUCUGAUUGUACCUAAUUGAAGCUUGUGACUUGCAUUUCAAUAUUAUCAUCUUACAGCUUUAGGUCUAUGAGAUGAAAUUUUUCCAGGGCCCAAAAAUAUUAGAAAAUAUGAAGAAGUGAUGUUUUGUUUUAAAUUGAAAAUUAUUCUACAAUAGAUGUAUGUGAAUGUGGAUGUAUAUAUAUGAAAUUAAAUGAAAACUGAAACAAAUUUCACAAAAUGAGUUCCAUGUAUGAUGAUAAAGGAAGCAAUCUCUUUGAUAGGAAGUUUAACCACUAAUUUUAAGUCUUAAAGGAAUCUGAAAGGCCUUAAUAUUUAAUAUUUUGAUAUAAAUCCUAUGCUUAACUGCAUAUUAAAUCCAGCAUGUAAGCAAAUUCUGGCCCUUGAAAAAGAUAAUAAAUUGGGUUUUACUCUUUUUUGCAGAGUUUUUUUUUUUUAAGUUUAUUUAUUUUGAGAGA